GGCAGAUGGACUACAUUGGUCCCAUGCCUAAAGGAAGAGGGGGGCUGAUGUAUUGUUGUACUGCUGUAGACACCUUUUCCGGAAUUCUGAAAGUAUUACCCUGCAAACAUGCGAACCAGGCCUCAACACUUCAGAUGCUACAGACUUUUGUGAUUGCUUAUGGACUGCCAUCUGAGAUUCAGACAGACAAUGGAACCCACUUCACUGGACAGCUCGUACAGCAGUGGGCAAAUGACUCAG